rnacentral:rRNA from 1 species
AAUAGAUACCCCGGUAGUCCACGCUGUAAACGAUGAGUACUAGGUGUCGGGGGUAUCGACCCCCUCGGUGCCGAAGCUAACGCGAUAAGUACUCCGCCUGGGGACUACGGCCGCAAGGCUAAAACUCAAAGGAAUUGACGGGGGCCCGCACAAGCAGCGGAGCGUGUGGUUUAAUUCGACGCAACGCGAAGAACCUUACCUGGGCUUGACAUGCACGUGGUAAAACCGUGAAAGCGGAAUGACCCGCAAGGGAGCGUGCACAGAUGCUGCAUGGCUGUCGUCGGCUCGUGCCGUGAGGUGUUGGGUUAAGUCCCGCAACGAGCGCAACCCUCGCUGCCAGUUACCAUGUCUGGCGGGACCGCCGGGUCCAACCCGGAGGAAGGUGGGGAUGACGUCAAGUCAGCACGGCUCUUACGUCCAGGGGCUACACACACGCUACAAUGGCCGGUACAACGCGCAGCGAUGGGGCGACCCGGAGCGAAUCGCAGCAAAGCCGGUCUCAGUUGGGAUUGCAGGCUGCAACUCGCCUGCAUGAAC